rnacentral:rRNA from 1 species
GACGAACGCUGGCGGCGUGCUUAACACAUGCAAGUCGAACGGAAAGGCCCUUUCGGGGGUACUCGAGUGGCGAACGGGUGAGUAACACGUGGGUGAUCUGCCCUGCACUUUGGGAUAAGCCUGGGAAACUGGGUCUAAUACCGAAUAUUCCCUGCUGGCCGCAUGGUCUGGUGGGGGAAAGCUUUUGCGGUGUGGGAUGAGCCCGCGGCCUAUCAGCUUGUUGGUGGGGUGAUGGCCUACCAAGGCGACGACGGGUAGCCGGCCUGAGAGGGUGUCCGGCCACACUGGGACUGAGAUACGGCCCAGACUCCUACGGGAGGCAGCAGUGGGGAAUAUUGCACAAUGGGCGCAAGCCUGAUGCAGCGACGCCGCGUGGGGGAUGACGGCCUUCGGGUUGUAAACCUCUUUCAGUACCGACGAAGCGCAAGUGACGGUAGGUACAGAAGAAGCACCGGCCAACUACGUGC